AUAUAUAUAUAUAUACACACACACACACACACACACACACACAUAUAUGUGUGUGUGUGUGUGUGUGUGUGUGUGUGUGUAUAUAUAUAUAUAU
rnacentral:miRNA from 1 species